GAAGGACAACCGUGUCAGGAUUAUGAGCGUCGAAGGCUCACUGAUGCACGGCAGGAGCAAAGACCAGUCCGUCGGAUCACACAGAAGAACUACUGUAGCUGGAAUUUCAAAACAACGUAACCUUAAAUUUAGCCGCGAUAGAAAGGCCUCAGAUCACACAAUGUAACUGAGUUUGAUGCGCAUGGGGCUUCAUAGCUGCAGAGUGGUCAGAGUGCCCAUGAUGACCCCUGUCCACUGCCGAAAGCACCUUCAAUGGGAACAUGAGCGUCUGACCUGGA